UACGAAGGGGGCUAGCGUUGCUCGGAAUUACUGGGCGUAAAGGGUGCGUAGGCGGGGCUUUAAGUCAGAGGUGAAAUCCUGGAGCUCAACUCCAGAACUGCCUUUGAUACUGAGGAUCUUGAGUUCGGGAGAGGUGAGUGGAACUGCGAGUGUAGAGGUGAAAUUCGUAGAUAUUCGCAAGAACACCAGUGGCGAAGGCGGCUCACUGGCCCGAUACUGACGCUGAGGCACGAAAGCGUGGGGAGCAAACAGG
rnacentral:rRNA from 1 species